UACGUAGGUCCCAAGCGUUGUUCGGAUUCACUGGGCGUAAAGGGUGCGUAGGUGGUGAGGUAAGUCGGAUGUGAAAGCUCGGAGCUCAACUCCGAAAUGGCAUUGGAAACUACCUUGCUCGAGGGUUGGAGGGGGGACUGGAAUGCUUGGUGUAGCAGUGAAAUGCGUAGAUAUCAGGAGGAACACCGGCGGUGUAGACGGCUUGCUAGACCAUAACUGACGCUGAGGCACGAAAGCGUGGGUAGCAAACAGG
rnacentral:rRNA from 1 species